UGGGGCGUUGUCUAACGGUAGGACGACAGACUCUGGAUCUGUUUGUGAGGGUUCGAUUCCUUCCGCCCCAG
rnacentral:tRNA from 1 species